CGGCAGCAUGAUCUAGCUUGCUAGAUUGAUGGCGAGUGGCGAACGGGUGAGUAAUACAUCGGAACGUGCCCUGUAGUGGGGGAUAACUAGUCGAAAGAUUAGCUAAUACCGCAUACGACCUGAGGGUGAAAGUGGGGGACCGCAAGGCCUCAUGCUAUAGGAGCGGCCGAUGUCUGAUUAGCUAGUUGGUGAGGUAAAGGCUCACCAAGGCGACGAUCAGUAGCUGGUCUGAGAGGACGAUCAGCCACACUGGGACUGAGACACGGCCCAGACUCCUACGGGAGGCAGCAGUGGGGAAUUUUGGACAAUGGGGGCAACCCUGAUCCAGCAAUGCCGCGUGUGUGAAGAAGGCCUUCGGGUUGUAAAGCACUUUUGUCCGGAAAGAAAUCGCACUUACUAAUAUUAGGUGUGGAUGACGGUACCGGAAGAAUAAGGACCGGCUAACUACGUGCCAGCAGCCGCGGUAAUACGUAGGGUCCAAGCGUUAAUCGGAAUUACUGGGCGUAAAGCGUGCGCAGGCGGUUGUGCAAGACCGAUGUGAAAUCCCCGGGCUUAACCUGGGAAUUGCAUUGGCGACUGCACGGCUAGAGUGUGUCAGAGGGGGGUAGAAUUCCACGUGUAGCAGUGAAAUGCGUAGAGAUGUGGAGGAAUACCGAUGGCGAAGCAGCCCCCUGGGAUNACACUGACGCUCAUGCACGAAAGCGUGGGGAGCAAACAGGAUUAGAUACCNUGGUAGUCCACGCCCUAAACGAUGUCAGCUAGUUGUUGGGGAUUCAUUUCCUUAGUAACGUAGCUAACGCGUGAAGUUGACCGCCUGGGGAGUACGGUCGCAAGAUUAAAACUCAAAGGAAUUGACGGGGACCCGCACAAGCGGUGGAUGAUGUGGAUUAAUUCGAUGCAACGCGAAAAACCUUACCUACCCUUGACAUGCCACUAACGAAGCAGAGAUGCAUUAGGUGCUCGAAAGAGAAAGUGGACACAGGUGCUGCAUGGCUGUCGUCAGCUCGUGUCGUGAGAUGUUGGGUUAAGUCCCGCAACGAGCGCAACCCUUGUCUCUAGUUGCUACGAAAGGGCACUCUAGAGAGACUGCCGGUGACAAACCGGAGGAAGGUGGGGAUGACGUCAAGUCCUCAUGGCCCUUAUGGGUAGGGCUUCACACGUCAUACAAUGGUGCAUACAGAGGGUUGCCAAGCCGCGAGGUGGAGCUAAUCCCAGAAAAUGCAUCGUAGUCCGGAUCGUAGUCUGCAACUCGACUACGUGAAGCUGGAAUCGCUAGUAAUCGCGGAUCAGCAUGCCGCGGUGAAUACGUUCCCGGGUCUUGUACACACCGCCCGUCACACCAUGGGAGUGGGUUUUGCCAGAAGUAGUUAGCCUAACCGCAAGGGGGGCGAUUACCACGGCAGGGUUCAUGACUGGGGUGA
rnacentral:rRNA from 1 species